CAACAAUACAAAGAAAGGACCCCCCACGUCGUCUUCUUUUCCAAGGGACCUAGACCAGAAGCAACACCGAGAACACCCAAAACCAGACCCACCAGCGAACAAUCAACGACCAACCCUCACACACCUUGAUAUCUGCCGUCCAUUUCCACCCAAAUACGCCAGACAUCAUAUCUCAAACCUUCCAACGAUCUUCCAUUGAAUCCGACGAGCUCAGCCAAAACCGGCGACGACUACUGCUCUUCUUUCUUCGUCGUUUUUCUCUUUUCUCUGUCACUGCUGCAUCGGAGGGUGCCAUAUCUGGCAAGAAAUACGGCGGACAACCAAACAGUAGCCAAAGAUCAAACUCCAGCCCACCCAAAAAAACAAAAAAGGUAGUCAGACUCCAAACAAAAAAAUCACACAAGAACAACAUUAGCUUCUCUUUUUUUUUGGUCAAAAAUCAGACUUCGAUAGGCAAGUAAAAUGAAAAUGGAUUAUGCUUGAGAUCUGGUCCGCGUUCGAGGAUUUGAGGUUCCCCGUAUGUUCGAGUUUUGGUCUACGAAUUCCUGUUGGCUUAUUCCGAUUUUUCGCGAGUCCCGGCGUCAGGUUUUGCUAGUGUUUCCAAACGGAUAAUCGUUAAAGGUUGCUGAAGGUUUUACCUCAAGGCACGGUGUUCGAGACGAUCAAAACAAGUAGUCUCAAUCCAGAAUAAAAGAAAAAAAGAAAAAAAAAA